rnacentral:rRNA from 1 species
UACAGAGGGUGCAAGCGUUAAUCGGAAUUACUGGGCGUAAAGCGUGCGUAGACGGUUAUGUAAGUCGGGUGUGAAAGCCCCGGGCUCAACCUGGGAAUGCCAUUCGAGACUGCAUAGCUAGGGUGCGGAAGAGGGAAGCGGAAUUUCCGGUGUAGCGGUGAAAUGCGUAGAUAUCGGAAGGAACACCAGUGGAGAAAGCGGCUUCGUGGUCAAGCAACGACGUUAAGGCACGAAAGCGUGGGGAGCAAACAGG